rnacentral:tRNA from 1 species
UCCCUGGUGGUCCAUUGGUUAGGACUCUGAAAUUUCACUGUAAGAUGCACAGGUUCAAUUCCUGGUCAAGGAA